rnacentral:rRNA from 1 species
AGGGUGUAAACGCUGCCGACUUGGUGUUGGAGGCCCUUCGGGGGCAUUCAGUGCCGGAGAGAAGUUGUUAAGUCGGCCACUUGGGGAGUACGUCCGCAAGGAUGAAACUUAAAGGAAUUGGCGGGGGAGCACCGCAACGGGAGGAGCGUGCGGUUUAAUUGGAUUCAACACCGGAAAGCUCACCAAGGGCGACUGUUACAUGAAAGCCAGGCUAAUGACCUUGCUUGAUUUUCAGAGAGGUGGUGCAUGGCGUCAGUGACU